ACCAGAGCUUCGGCUCUGGGGAAAGCGGCGAACGGGUGAGUAACACGUGAGUAAUCUGCCCUCGACACUGGGAUAGCCCGGGGAAACCCGGAUUAAUACCGGAUAGCCUUUCGAGCUCUCGGGCUCGUCAGAAAAGGAUGGCUUCGGCUUUCGGUUGAGGAUGAGCUUGCGGCGGAUUAGCUUGUUGGUGAGGUAACGGCUCACCAAGGCGACAAUCCGUAGCUGGUCUGAGAGGACGAUCAGCCACACUGGGACUGAGACACGGCCCAGACUCCUACGGGAGGCAGCAGUGGGGAAUCUUGCGCAAUGAGCGAAAGCUUGACGCAGCGACGCCGCGUGAGGGAAGAAGGCCUUCGGG
rnacentral:rRNA from 1 species